rnacentral:rRNA from 1 species
GACGAACGCUGGCGGCGUGCUUAACACAUGCAAGUCGAACGGAAAGACCCUGCUUUUGUGGGGUGCUCGAGUGGCGAACGGGUGAGUAACACGUGAGUAACCUGCCCUUGACUUUGGGAUAACUUCAGGAAACUGGGGCUAAUACCGGAUAGGAGCUCCUGCUGCAUGGUGGGGGUUGGAAAGUUUCUGCGGUUGGGGAUGGACUCGCGGCUUAUCAGCUUGUUGGUGGGGUAGUGGCUUACCAAGGCUUUGACGGGUAGCCGGCCUGAGAGGGUGACCGGCCACAUUGGGACUGAGAUACGGCCCAGACUCCUACGGGAGGCAGCAGUGGGGAAUAUUGCACAAUGGGCGGAAGCCUGAUGCAGCAACGCCGCGUGCGGGAUGACGGCCUUCGGGUUGUAAACCGCUUUCGCCUGUGACGAAGCGUGAGUGACGGUAAUGGGUAAAGAAGCACCGGCUAACUACGUG